UGCCAGCCGCCGCGGUAAUACGGAGGGUGCAAACGUUGCUCGGAAUUAUUGGGCGUAAAGCGCGUGUAGGCGGCUUGUUAAGUCGAGUGUGAAAUCCCUGAGCUCAACUCAGGAACUGCGCUCGAUACUGGCAAGCUAGAGUACGGGAGAGGGUAGCGGAAUUCCCGGUGUAGAGGUGAAAUUCGUAGAUAUCGGGAGGAACACCAGUGGCGAAGGCGGCUAUCUGGACCGAUACUGACGCUGAGACGCGAAAGCGUGGGGAGCAAACAGGAUUAGAUA
rnacentral:rRNA from 1 species